rnacentral:lncRNA from 10 species
CUUCAAUCUUUACCUACUAGAUCCUUCUCCUCAGCCUAGAAAAAUGCCCAAAAAGUUCCAAUCUAAAAUAAAAAUAAAGAAGGAAUUCUCACUUAAGCUAUCACCCAAACUUUCUCUUUUCCUUCAUCAUAAUACUUCUAAAAAAAUACGCUAACUUCCUUUUCUUCCUUUACUUCCUCACCACAUACUACUUCUUAACUCCUUGUAAUCUAGCUUUCACUUUGACCGUUGCACUGAACCUGCUGUCUCAGAGGUCUCAAAGGACUUCUUACUUGCUAAAUUUCGGUCCUGCUUAGCCCUCAUCCUCCUCAACCUCUCUGUUUUUGACUUUCAAAAUGUCUCACUGUGUCUCUCUCUGUUGCUCUGUCUCUCUCUCUUCUCUCUGUCUCUCUCACCCACCCACCCUCUAGCCCCCUUAUUCUGUGUUAUUCCUCUCUUUUGGUUUUCUCUCCUCCCUUAUUAUUCUUCCUUUGAGUCUUCUGUCCCGCUCAUUCUCUUAAGAAUAGGCAUCCAAUGAGAUCCCAUGACUCCCUGCAAUAUCUGGGAUCUGCCUAUGUCUCCAAACUCAUAUGCACCCUGUUCCCCCUUGUUCAUUUCACUCCAGUCACACUGAUGUUUCAGUUCCUCUAAUGGGCCAAUGAGCUCUUUAUUACCUUAGGACCUGCUCUCUCUACCUGGGACACUCUUCCCCAUGUUCCCCCACACCCAAAGCGCUUCAUCUGGCUAUUUCCAAAUCAACUUUCAGGUCUCAGCUUCAUAUUACUUCCUCAGAGUGGCUCUCCCUAAGUGCAUCCCCUCCCCACCCCUCCAAAUUAAAUCUGUUUCCCCAUUUUUUCUAUUUUAGAAAUAGUUUUUUUAUCAAAUUAUUAUAUGGUUUAAAAUGAAAGACUACUUGUGUGUUUAUUUGCUUAAAUCUCUACCUUUCUCUCCAGAGUGUAAUUUCCAUGAGGACAGGAACCAUGUCAGUUUUGUUUAACACUGUAUCCUUAGCAUUCAACACAGACCUUGAAGCAGCAGACAACAAAUAUUGGUUGAAUAAAUGAGUGAACGAAGUGCCAGGCACUACAGUAAGUACUUCUUCCUGCCAGGCGCUAUGGCAAGUACUUUACAUAUAUCACCUCGUUUUUAUUCUUACCACAACCCUAUGCAUAGGUACUACUAUCAGAUGAGGAAAUGGAAGCUUACAGAGACAGACCAAUAUGCCCAAAAUCUCACAGAAAAAUGAAUGUAGCUAUCACGACGUGAAAAGAUGUAGAGGAACCUUAACUGCAGAUUAUUAAGUUAAAGAAGCUAAUCUAAAAAGCCUUCAUACUGUAUGAUUCCAACUAUGUGACAUUCUGGAAACAGCAGAACUAUAGAGACAGUAGAAAGGUCAAUAGUUGCUGGGGGUUGUCCUCGGGAGGGAUGAAGAGGCAGAGCACAGAGGAUUUUGAGGAACGAAAAUACUCUGUAUGAUAUAUAAUAGUGGAUACGUGUCAUACAUUUGUCCAAACCCAUAGAAUGCACGAUGCCAAGAGUGAAUCCUAAUUGACACUACGGACUUGGAUGGUGAUGAUGGGUUGAUGUAGGUUCAUCAGCUGUAAAAAAUGUACCACUCUGUGUGGGGAUGUUGAUAAUGGAGAGGGCCUUUGCAUGUGUGGGGACAGGGAGUAUAUGAGAAAUUUCUAUUCUUUCUGCUCAAUUUUGCUGUGAAUCUAAAACUGCUCCAAAAAAUAAAAUAUUUUAAAAAUGAGUGUCAGAGGUAGGAUAUGAAAACAUUUGUUUGACUCUAUGUAGGGCUUAAUUAUAAUAUUAUACUGCUUCCCAGUUGACAAAUCUAAUACUUUCACCGUCCAAAACUUCCCUCACACUUACUUCCUGUUGUCUGUUUCUAUGGUUUCUCUUGAGUCCUCCUUCCAGGAUCCAUUCCAAGCCAGACAAUGGUAUGUGGGUGAGAAACUGUGGUCAUGGAGGAGACUGGACAGACCGGAAAGCUUUUCUUUUCUAACACAUGUUUCUGAGGAGCCCUCAGGAAGCCUGUGAACCAGGAAAACCACGAAUGCCAUGUGGAGAGACAGACAUGCACCAAGGAUACUGCCAUGUGGAGAGGAAGGCAGAGACUGGGGUGAUGCAGCAGAAGCUGAGAAACACCAAAGACUUCCAGAAAAACAGCAGAAGACAGGAGAGAGGCCUGGGACAUAUUCUUUCUCACAGUCCUCACUAAGAACCAAUUUGCCAACACCUUGAUCUCAGACUUCUAACCUCCAGAACCGUGAGACAGCAAAUUGCUGUUACUUAAGCCACUCAGUUGUGGUACCUUGUUAUGGAAGUGCUAGCAAGCUCAUAGAAAUAACAGAAUCCUGAUCUUGUAAAGCAAAAUAAACUCAUGUAUUACGGGUUAUCAUCUUGCAUACGCACAUACACAUAUACAUAGAUGAACACAUAGAAACAAUGAAAGGCAAUAUAUUUUAAAAGUUAUCAAUACUUCUUUGGGGAUAAUGGAUGCUGAGUAAUUUUGCUUUGUACUUUUCUCUGCACCUUUGGGUAUUUUCUCAGUUAUCUUACCUCUCUACAAUAUUAUGCAUUAUUACCUAGACCAGCGGUCCCCAACCUUUUUGGUACCAGGGACCUGUUUUGUGGAAGACUAUUUUUUCCACAGGUGGGGCAGCAGUGGGGAUGGUUUCAGGAUGAAACUGUUCCACUGCAGAUCAUCAGGCAUUAGAUUCUCAUAAGGAGCAUGCAUCCUAGAUCCCUUCCAUGCACACUUCACAAUAGGGUUUGUGCUCCUAUGAGAAUCUAAUGCUUCCACAGAUCUGACCAGGAGGUGGAGUUCAGGGGGUAUAUGGCCUGGUUCUUAACAGGCCAUGGACUAGUACCUGUCCAUGCCCCGGGGGUUGGGGAUCUCCGACACAGACAGAUCCCCAGACCUCAGUUUCCUCAUCUGUAAUUUGAGAAUAGUUAUACCAAUCUUCCAGCAUUGUUGUGAGGAAUAAAGUGCCUGACACAAAUAAUAGGUCAGUGGGUCUUCCUAGAAUAGGGAGAGCAGCUCCAAAGAAGUAAACCUGGACAGACCUCUGUACCUCUAUUCAUCAUCAGGCUUCAGUGUUGCUGCUAAGCAGGCAUGCGGAUGCUGCUCAGCACUGGCCUCCCUGUGUGGUAAGGGUGGGUGUGCAGAGAUGAGAUGGCACAGGGGAGCUAGCUGGAUGUCUUGGGUUUGGGAAGGUCAGCAAAGAAAGGUAAGAGAGGGUGAAAGUUUGAUUGAAGAAUGUUGGCUAUGUAAGGACAACUUAACCCAUUGGGGUAACAUUUCUUAGUUUGGGUUGGGGUCCAAUGGGGCAACUGAAAAGGAAAAAGGAACCAAGAGAAUAGAAAGCAUAGCCAAGAAGCCCAACAAUCCCCUCCUACAGGAAGAAUGCCUUGCCUCCUCAUUUCUUCUCUGAAACCCCUCUGGAAAUGGGAGUGGACAAUGUAACUUACUUAUCAUUUUCCACAGCCCAUGGGAAGGUGUUCUUUCCCCAGGAGGAAUGUUUCCCAAACAGCCCUCCUUCUGGCCUUAUCUGUGAUAAGUUGUUCUUUUCUGGGGACUGUUUGGGUAUCCUUGACUCUGACAUACUCAGUAGGGCAGGUUAAUUCUCUUGAAUCUUAAAUUUAGCCAUCUGUGACUUCAUAUUAAUCUUUGGUCUCCAAAAACAUUGGGCUGUUUUGCCUCUUUCUACUCACUUAUGUCUUCUUUAUCUUAAUUCCAAAUCCCAGCAACUCAGAGAAGAAAUGGGUCCUGCAAAUGAUAUUCACAAUCUAUUGCUUUAUGGGAGGUCAGUGAAGGCCUUUCCCAUUUACUUUGUUAAAAUCUAUAUCUAUUUUCAUUCCUAAUUUUUUAUCUGCAAGAUUAUGUAGCAACAUGGGAAACAUUUAUAAUAUUAAAUAGUGAAAGAAGGGGACACAAAAAUUGCAUGUAAAUUAUGAUUCUAUUUGAAAAAAAGACUGAGCAAAUAGACAAUCAAAAAGACAUACACACAUACGAGAAAAAUAAAACUGGAAGAAAACAGAGCAAAAAAUGAAUAAUGACUAUGGUAAAGUGCUGGAAUUGUGGAUUUUUUAAAUUCUUCUCUAUUUACCUAAAAAUUUUAAGGUAAUAAGAAAAUACUUUUAUAAUUAAGAAACAGACUUACUAAAAUAAAGUAGGGGCAGAAAUGAGGAACAAAGUUUGCUAAAAUAAAUAAAACAGGAAAGCUUGUAGAUAAGGUUUUAUGGAAGUAAAUAUACGUAGCUCCCAGCUUAGUGUGUGUGAGCUGAUGGAGAAACACGACUACAGAGCUCUUAUGGAAAGCAUUUAACCAUUUGUCACCCUUGCAGUCUACUUCAAGAGUGACUAAAAGGAAGAACAACAUGAGGAAGACUUCAAAUGUGUUGAGGAUUUGAGAAGAGGGGCUAGAAGUCCAGGCAUGUUAGAGGUUUGGGGGCUGUAGAGAGAUACUGUAGAAGUUACUAAAUUGGGGGUUUUAUGGGAAGUGCUUCAAGCAUGACAUUGUGAGGCUAUGAUACUGUUUAUUUUUAGAAGUCCUGUUGAGAGGAGUAUCUUUCACCUCUCACUAAAUUAGCUAUGCUCCUUGGAACCAUGGACAUCUUUCUGCUGUAGCAGCAAUAGGAUCAAAGCACGUGUUUAGAAAGAGAAGUGAAAAACACCAGAUGUGAGCAAAACCACAAGGGGAAUUUCAGACAGGCAGCAUGCACCAGAUGACCCAAUUUGGAACGUGGCCCAGGCCCCAGGACAGGCAGACCCUGUAAGGAUCAGGCUGGACAGUCAGAGGUUAUUGAUCCCGAUUUAAGCCAAAUGUUGCUAAAACUUGAUCUGUGACCUUGCUUAAGCCAUUGACCUCCUCUAAACCACUUUCACCAUCUGUAAAAUGCAAGGACUGUGAAUUUCCUCUCAGGAAUAGCUAAUGGAAACCAUGCUAAAAAGUAGAGAUAAGAAUGAAGCACGAUCUUGCGAUCUUGAACAAUGGUGGUAAAUUGUAUUUGAUUAUAUAAAUACCACAACAUACACACACUUACAGUGUAUAGAUGCGCACACUUUAUGAGAAGAAUGUGUAUAAAAAACAUAGAAUUGGCCGGGCGCGAUGGCUCAUGCCUGUAAUCCCAGCACUUUGGGAGGCCGAGGCAGGUGGAUAUCUUGAGGUUAGGAGUUCCAGAUGAGCCUGGCCAACAUGGUGAAACCCCGUCUCUCCUGAAAACACAAAAAUUACUGGGGCAUCCACCUGUAAUUCCAGCUACUUGGGAAACUGAGGCACAAGAAUCACUUGAACCCAGGAGGCGGAGGUUGCAGUGAGCUGAGAUUGCACCACUGCACUCCAGCCUGGGCAACAGAGCAAAACUCCAUCUCGAAAAAACAAAACAAAAAAACCCCAUGGAUUAAAGAUUGUGUUCCAUCAAUUCACAGAGUAAAUAAUCUAUGUGUUGACAAUUGAAGGGGUAGAAAAAAUAUUUUUUCUCUUACACAUAGCUCUUUAAGAUUCCUAGGGCCAGAUUCAGCAUACUGUCUAGCACAGUUAGUGACAAAUGAAUGCUAGUAUAGAAUAGAGAUUAUGCUUCAAAUUUCAACUGUCUUCACCACUUAGUUGCUAUGUGGCUUUGGGUAAGGCACUCCAUCAUUUUGUGCCUUGGUUUCCUAAUCUGUUAAAUGGGAAAAAUACUAGUAUCUACCUCAUAGACUUGUGAAGAUUACAUAAAGUGAUAUAUCUAAAGAGCUUAGAUGAGUGCUGGGUGGAUAAUGUUAGUUAUUACUAUCUUCUAAAGUCUUCUAUGUGGACUUCAAAGCUCUCUGCAUUUCUUUAUUUCAUCUCUGUUUUCUCAUUUAAAUGUUUCCCACAUUCUUGCUCCAUUCAAGAAUAUUUCUUGUUUGUCUUAUUCAUCUAUGUAGGAUAUUGCUCCCUGUAGACUUUAAACCAGCUUACUCAUUCCCCCUCAAAGCCAUUACUGUUUUCCUAUUUACGUCAAUUUUGAGUCAGUCUCUAAGUUGACCCUACAACCAGAAAUCUAUGAAGCGUCACUCAAUCCUCUGUUCUCCCACUCCUGGGCUUCUUAUAUAACAGGAUGUCCUCUUAACCACAGGGGAUGUUUCACUAAAAUUAAAAUGUAUAUCUUUAUUUUCUUUAAUAGAAGAAGUAAUCAGUUAUGGCAUCACAGUAUAUAACAGAAAAUCAGCUUGGGAUCACUGAGCAUGGCUGUCUUUAAGAGGAUGGGGCAGUGAAAGGAGUCCUGGGUGCAGUGAAAAUGCCUUCUACCCUUUGGAGAGAUGUUGACAUUGGAGAGAAAGAGGGAUGCAGUACUGGGUCCAGGAAGGGAAGAUGUUGGAAUUCAUCCUAGGUCUCAUGUACCAAGGAAGUGACUCUGUAUGAGAACAGAGGGGAAAAUCAACAACUGAUCAGUGAUAACUAUGGUAUUUUGGCCUUAGGGCUAUUAGGGGAUGAUGAGGGCAAAACUGAGAGGAAUGUUAGGGAAUCACUUUCUCUAAAGUAUCAAUAUAAAUUGACUCUACUUUUGGCACUCACGGAAACAGCAGAAAGAGGACAUCACAACCCCUACCUGGACAACUUCUGAUCCAGUUUCACCAACAACAGCGUCACUCCUUUCGAAGAGCACUCUUGUCUUCCACUGUUACCUUGUAUGAUUAUGUGAUUGUUAUCGUCCUUAUCAUUAUCACUCUCAAAUCACUUGAAUUUCUUGCAUCCCUCCACUAUGUUAUCUUCUAAAAUAAUUUUACUAUAAGAUGAUUUAAUCCCAUGGAAAUUUUUGAGCCCCUAUUAUGAAGGCUAAAUCCUAGGGAAUACAAAGAUGAGUAAAAGAGUCAUUGCUCUUAAGGAGCUCAUAUCACAAGAUUUAGGCAGAUUGAAAUUGCUAACCAACAUUUAACCCAGGUCCAGGUGCUCCUAGUUAUCUUCCCUAUUGGUUUGUCUUGUCCUGUUCAUUUAUUUAACACAUAUUUAUUUAUUUCUUUAUUUGAGACGGAGUCUCGCUCUGUCGCCCAGGCUGGAGUGCAGUGGCGCGAUCUCGGCUCACUGCAAGCUUCGCCUCCCCUGGGUUCACGCCAUUCUCCUGCCUCAGCCUCCCCAGUAGCUGGGACUACAGGCACCCGCCACCAUGCCCAACUAAUUUUUUUGUAUUUUUAGUAGAGAUGGGGUUUCACCGCGUUAGCCAAGAUGGUCUCAAUCUCCUGACCUCGUGUGAAAGUGCUGGGACUAUAGGCGUGAGCCACUGCGCCCGGCCUUAACACAUAUUUAUUGAGCACCUACUAUGUGCUAGGCACUGGGCUAGCCUAAGGAUGCAAUAGCAACUAAAAUAAGCAUCAUAUUUACUUUUAGAGAAUAUAACUGCAAUGUGAAGAAUUAGGCUCAAUGAUAUACCUGGUUGACUACAGAAGAAAUAUUAAGUAUUCCUGACUCUCCUCCACAGAGUGGGGUGCACUCCAGUGCACUCCUCUUCCAACCAUUACGUAGUGAAGUUAUAGCUGAGACAUAUUUAGUUCUUAUGUGAGUCCAACUUGAGAGGCACCUGACAAUAAGAGGACAAAUCUCCACUGUAAUGCUGAAUAGCUGGUAGUCUCAUGUCCAGUAUUCCUGUGCAAACACCCUUGCAGGAACCAAGUACCCUUCAUAUUAUGCCCUGAUUCUAUAUGGGUUAGACAUAUACAUCAAAUAAUUUUGGUUUGUCAAUAAACAAUCUAAAUAAUAGAAGGUAAAGUCAAUUAUAUAAAGUUUCCAAAGAAGGAUAGGGGAAGAGUUUCCAAGAAAAGUUUUUUCUUAUUGGAAGAAGCAUAUCAGAUGAAGGCAAGCAUUACUUUAUGUAUAUAUGUAUGUUUGUAUGUAUUUUAAGGCAGGGUCUGGCACUGUCACUCAGGCCAGAGUGCAGUGGCAUGGAUCUUGGCUCACUGCAACCUCAGUCUGCUGGGCUCAAGUGAUGCUCCCACCUCAGCCUCCCAAGUAGCUGGGACUACAAGCAUGCACCACCACAUCCAGCUAAUUUCUGUAUUUUUUUGUAGAGAUGGGGGUCUUACCAUGUUGCCCAGGAUGGUCUCGAACUCUUGGCUCAACUGAUCCUCCUGCCUCGGCCUCACAUAGUUCUGGGAUUACAGAUGUGAGCCACCACACCUGGUGGCUCACUAAUUUUCACUAAUGGCAAUAAAACCACUACUUACAAUAUCAGAGUGUACAACUAAUGUAUUAGCUGACUAAAUAAGGGAUGUAGUAAAUUUAGUCAGGGCUUCUGCCUAUAUAGAGUAAGACCCCAAGGCAUGGAAGAAUGACUCACUGUAAUAAACUAAGCCAACUAAAUAUUGAUGAAUAGUGCUCACAUAACAGCAUAAUAUUAGAACAGAAAAGAAAAUUAUAGAUUGUACUGGAUAACUCAUUCAAGCAUAAAAUUUGGAAUCUGAUGGUCCUAGGUUCAAAUUCCAACUCAGCUUCCUCUUUGCCACCUCUGUGGCCUUGGGCAACUUGAGUAUUUUUAAAUUUGAAUACUACAGAUCUAUAUUCCUAGCUAGUAGAGUUCUUUCUCUUAUGGAUUAAAUAAAGUAAUACAAUUGAAGUCACAUGGUGCACAGUGAGCACUUCAUAAAUACUCUAGUCUUCUUUUCAUUGUACAGAAAAGGAACAAAAGCCUGGAGGACUGAUCUAACUUUCCUGAAGGCCCACAGUUAACCAAUGUCAGAUCCAGAUGAAAGCCCCUGGCUUCCUGACUCCUGGUCCAGCUGGCUGUCUAUGAUUUCCAAAACAGGGCUGUGCCAAAGACAACUGAAAAUACAUUUACCUCUGUUUUUUUAAAGCUGAAGAGAAUGAAGUAAAAAGAGAGGAGGAGGCUGAUGUGGGGUGAGAGGUAUAAGAAGCAGAUUUACUUUCCUGGUUUUGCAUUACCUUCCUGAGUUUACACUGCCUGAGCACACACCCACUAACGGUGGGGGGAAGUGGCAGAGCGUAGCCAACAUGGGAUUAAAAAUUGUGUUACAUCAACCCACAAAGUAAAUAAUCUACCUGCCCACAGUUGAAGAGGGUGUAACAGGGUAUUGUGUUUUUUCUCACACAUAGUUCUUUGGGUCUGCUAGGGUCAUUCCAGAUCUAAUUUUCCAGAAGAUCCUAUAUACGCCUUUCCAUUGGAGUUUUGAGCUUGCUAAUGUGUGGAUUUGGCAGACAAAUGCAAAUUAAAGAAGAUAUAUAUGAAAAAUCACUUGUAGCCUAAACAUGAUUUCUGUGUGGGACUGGUGCUCCACAUGGAUAAAAAAGCCAUGGGCCAGAGACAGGAUGCUUGACUGCUUCCCUGCACUGCUGUUAACACUCGGGGGGACCCAAGAAAGGAGAUUAACUUCUCUGGGCAUCUAUUUUGUCACCUAUAAAAUACCAUCAAGUAGUCAUUUGCUAUACAUUGAAUGCAAGACGUUUGUCACAUUUUAUUUUUCUGUAUCCUUUUAAGAGCUUCAUGGGGCAGAUUGUACUCCCACAUUACAAGUAAAGAAAUAAGGGCUUAGAGAUAUUGUGACUUGUCCAACGUCAUUUAGCUGGUAAGUGGUAGAAUCUGACAGAACCUGGAUUUGAACCCAGAAUCUGCUUUCAACCUCCAAGCUACACUACUUAAUAUUGUGAGGGAGGGAAAGGAUGUUAACCUUCAAAGUACUUUACAUCAGUUUAAACAAAUGUUCAAUACAAUCAUUUAUUAGGGGUAUAAUUCCUAGGAGGUGCCUGUACUUAAGUCAUUUUCAGCUCAUUGACUUUCUCAUUCAUUGCCUCUCAUCUGACCUGUGAGCCUCAAACCACAGUUAUCCUAUUUCAUUUCCUUUGUUUUUGGUGUCAGUACUCCUCCCACAUUGGCUGAUUUCAGGGGGAGCCGGCACCACUUCUCUUCAAGUAGGGGAGUGUAAGUGUAGGAAGCCACUCAUACACACACACAUAAAUAUGCGCGUGCACGCACACACACACACACACAUUCAUAUUAGUUUGUGAUACACAUACGUGGUUUCAGAAAUUGACAAUUUAAGAAUAUGUCAUUAUUAUGACAGUGCAUAUAUCAUGUAUAAAUAAUUCCCCAGAAUUGGGGUUGGGUGAAAAAAACGCUGUGAUAAGGUGAUAGAAAGUGAAGAGACAUGUACUAAGGAGAAUACUAAGAGACUUAGAACCUUCUGGCUUCAGCCCCCACCUUGAAUUUUAAAAGAAGUUCAUGAAUUUUUUCCUGCUCAUUCGGUCUCCUGAAAGAUCCUUACCCUUGGUAGGAAAUGAGCUUGAUACAACCCAGUGUUGUAUCAACUGAUACUGAGCUUUCACUCUGUUAUCUGUAUCUGCAUUCCAGGUAGUGGUGGUCAUCAGACUGUAAACUUUGGAGGCUCAGGGUCACAUCUGUGGAAUUCUCUCUUCUGUGGUCCGGCAUGGCAUACAAUUAGCAAAUUGGUGAUGACAACGUUUUUCAUUCCUUCUAUUGCUUUUUAUUUGGUUUGUUCAGGAGACAGACACAAAAUAUUUUGAGACUCAUUUAAUUAUAGCCCACAACUGUCAUGGCAUUCAACAAGUGCAGUUAUUCGUUAAAUAUGUACUUGUUGAACAUCAUGGUACUAUUAUUGAACAUCACAAUAAUAUUUCAUUUUUUGCAUUAACCCUUAAUGGUUACAAAGUGCAUCUAUAAUUAGUGUCACACCUAGGCUUCCUAAGAAUCCUUUGAGAAGGGAGAAAGGGAUAAAAGCAUUACCUACCUUAUGAGGAUUUGUGAGAAUCAUACAAUAAAAGACAAAAGUGCUUAGCACUGGAAGCUGAUGCAGCGUAAACAAUCAUGAAAUGUUACUACUAGCACAGUUAUUAGCCCAUAUUACUGAUGAUAUACCUCACUUCCUCAAGUUUGCACAGUGAAGUAGUAGAAUUCAGCUAAGAAUCUGUUUCCAGACCCCAAAUCUGUCUUAGGAAACUAUCAGUUGAGAUCGCAAUUAUGGAAGGCAAAAAAACAGAGCCUUAAAGGGAGAGCAAACAUGACAGGUUUUAUGGUGGGUGAGUAGGCAGAAGUGUUUAGGGACCUUAUGUGCAUUGUCAAGUGCUCAGGGGAGAGGGUGAGGCCCAGGCUAUGUACCACAGGCAGCUGUACAAUUCAUUUUUGGUUCCUCAAAUGUUCUAUCUUCCCUCAGCACCUUCACAUAGAAUGUGUUCCUUCUCCCCUGUCUUAUUCUCUGUCUUCACCUCUCUUCCCAACACUUCACCCAACAUUCACGCUUCCAGGCUCAACCCAAACAUCUCUUCUUCCAGGAUGCUCUCCCUGAGCCCCUGUCUGCACCUACUGACAGGCACUCACAGUACUCUGCAUGCCUCCUUUAGAGAACAGUUGUCCAAUAUUUGUCUUCCCAGCUAGGAGGUAAGCACUGAGAAGUCUGCAACUUUCCCUUGCUUGCCGGCUGAUGUCUCCCCAGCAGCAGUGUCCAGCACGUUUGUCAAGUGCGGAGCAGCUGCUGGCCACCUUAAAGAUGGAAAGGAACGAGACUGAAAAAAGGGUGGGAAGUCAUGAAAACAAAUUUAAAAUGCUUUACUAUUUUGCCCUAGAACCACUCGGGGUGGUGCUAUUGGGAAGAGCUAGGCAGUGAGAAAACAUAAAGGAGGCAACGGAAAGGAGCGAGAAAAAAGACACAAGAAAGGCAUGGAGAAGUCACUUGAUGCAAAGAGUAGCAGACAUAGGUGCUCAUCCUGAAGAAGGCUGGGCCAUGGAUGCCAAGCCUUCCGCAGACAUAUGAAAGGUUGCUGAGAAUUAGCCGUUUCUCUUUCUUUCAAACUUCCCCUUGUUUAUGUCUGCCGUCUUUUGUCAGAAAGAGAUGCAGGGGCCCUGCUCUCUCCAGAAGACUAACCCCUGCAGCAGUCCAUGGAAUCCAGGGCUAAGUCUGCUGAGGGGAGAGGGAGGGAGGGAAGAGUUUCCACCAGGAUGACAUAUUUCUGACUCUGCCCUCUGACAACAAAGGGUGCCGGUGGUGGGACUUUUGGCAGGAAGCACCCACCUUUGGGGGAGUCAGAAUCAUGUUGCGGGGUGACAGUGACUGAGGCGGACCCUGGAGCCCUGGCCGUCUUCCCUGCGCGGCCCUAGGCAGCGGUGCCUGGAUGAUCUCCUGGGCGCCUCCUCCGAGGUUCAGGCAGGGCUGAGGGAGGAUGCGAUGCCCGAGCUCCGGCAGGGCCCAUUUUGUUUAUGUUCCCACUCCUUCGCCCUGGGAAGCCCCGAGUUCCCACACUCACUGAGGCAGGAAGGUCACCACGGACACCUCAUCUGUCUGGGCCGUUGACUAACUACAGAUAAGCAGCAGCUGCCACAUCCAUGUUGGGGUCACCUCCCAGUCUGCCCACCCUGGAACCAGGGGAGAAGCCCCCAUCCCCGCCCACUUGCACAUGAUGCCUCCCCAGCAAGGUCAGCUGCUCCUGAGGCCAGGAUGGCGACAUGGGGCCACAGAAAAACUUGCUUUUGCGGGAGAAGCAAGACAUGACUAAGGGAUUGAAAGGUCUUAGACAUGACUACCCGAGAGCCCAGGCUUAUAUUUC